rnacentral:misc_RNA from 1 species
AAGUCGUAACAAGGUUUCCGUAGGUGAACCUGCGGAAGGAUCAUUAACGAGUGAGGGUCUCUCCGGCCCGACCUCCCAACCCUUUGUCUACUCGACCAUCGUUGCUUCGGCGAGCCCGUCCCUCGUGGACCGCCGGGGGGCCGUCACAGGCCCUCUGGCCCGCGCUCGUCGGUGGCCAACCCCCCAAAACUCUCACCCAACGUGUCUUAUCUGAGUCCCACAUUUUAAUUAAAAGCAAAACUUUCAACAACGGAUCUCUUGGCUCUG